AACGAACGCUGGCGGCAUGCCUAACACAUGCAAGUCGAACGAAACCUUCGGGUCUAGUGGCGCACGGCUGCGUGACACGUGGUAACCAGCCCUUAGGUUAGGAAUCCCUCACCGUGAGGGGUGCUAAUACAGGUUAAUCUCUUAGGGGCAAGGAUUUAUGGCCUUUGGAUGGGCGCGGGUUGGUUUGGCCAGUUGGUAGGGUACAAGCCUACCAAGGCCACGUUGCAUAGCUGGUCGGAUAGGAUGACCAGCCACGCUGGGACUGCGACACGGCCUAGAAUCCUACGGGACGCAGCAGUGGGGUGUAUUGGACGAUGGGCGAAAGCCUGAUCCAGCAGUGCCGCGUGAGUGAUGAAUGGCUUAGGGUUGUAAAGCUCUUUUACCCGGGAUGAUAAUGACAGUACCGGGUGAAUAAGCACCGGCUAACUCCGUG
rnacentral:rRNA from 1 species